rnacentral:rRNA from 1 species
UACAGAGGUCCCAAGCGUUGUUCGGAUUCACUGGGCGUAAAGGGUGCGUAGGUGGUUGGGUAAGUCUGAUGUGAAUCUCCGGGCGUCAACUCGGAAUGGCAUUGGAUACUAUCCAGCUUGAGGAGUGGAGGGGGGACUGGAAUACUUGGUGUAGCAGUGAAAUGCGUAGAUAUCGGGAGGAACACCUGUGGCGAAGGCGGCCCCCUGGUUGGAUACUGACGCUGAUACGCGAAAGCGUGGGGAGCAAACAGG